UGACUAUAACUGUCCCUUCUGAAC
rnacentral:piRNA from 1 species